rnacentral:rRNA from 1 species
AGAGUUUGAUCCUGGCUCAGAGCGAACGCUGGCGGCAGGCCUAACACAUGCAAGUCGAGCGGACGUAGCAAUACGUCAGCGGCAGACGGGAGAGUAACACGUGGGAACGCGCCCUUCGGUUCGGAAUAACGCAGGGAAACUUGCGCUAAUACCGGAUACGCCCUUACGGGGAAAGAUUUAUUGCCGAAGGAACGGCCCGCGUCCGAUUAGCUAGUUGGUGAGGUAAUGGCUCACCAAGGCGACGAUCGGUAGCUGGUCUGAGAGGAUGACCAGCCUCACUGGGACUGAGACACGGCCCAGACUCCUACGGGAGGCAGCAGUGGGGAAUAUUGGACAAUGGGCGCAAGCCUGAUCCAGCCAUGCCGCGUGGAUGAUGAAGGCCCUAGGGUUGUAAAGUCCUUUUAACGGGGAAGAUAAUGACGGUACCCGUAGAAUAAGCCCCGGCUAACUUCGUGCCAGCAGCCGCGGUAAUAC